GGGCACCACCAGGGGGUGCAGCUGCGGCUUAUUUGACUCAACACGGGAAAUCUCACCACGCCCGGACACUGAAGGAAUUCACAGAUUAACAGCUCUUUCUUGAUUCGGUGGGUGGUGGUGCAUGGCCGUUCUUAGUUGGUGGAGCGAUUUGUCUGGUUAAUUCCGGUAACGAACGAGACUCUAGCCUGCUAAAUAGGCGUCCUCAUUUAGGUGGGCUCGACUUCGGUCGUGCAACUCACUGGCGACGUAUUAAAAUUCUUCUUAGAGGGACCGGUGUCUUCGAGCCACACGAGAUUGAGCAAUAACAGGUCUGUGAUGCCCUUAGAUGUCCUGGGCCGCACGCGCGCUACACUGAAGGAAUCA
rnacentral:rRNA from 1 species